UACGUAGGGCGCAAGCGUUGUCCGGAAUUAUUGGGCGUAAAGAGCUCGUAGGCGGUGUGUCGCGUCGGCCGUGAAAACCUGCAGCUUAACUGUGGGCUUGCGGUCGAUACGGGCAUCACUGGAGUUCGGCAGGGGAGACUGGAAUUCCUGGUGUAGCGGUGAAAUGCGCAGAUAUCAGGAGGAACACCGGUGGCGAAGGCGGGUCUCUGGGCCGAUACUGACGCUGAGAAGCGAAAGCGUGGGGAGCGAACAGG
rnacentral:rRNA from 1 species